CCUACGGGUGGCUGCAGUGAGGAAUAUUGGUCAAUGGCCGGGAGGCUGAACCAGCCAAGUAGCGUGAAGGAAGACGGCCCUACGGGUUGUAAACCUCUUUUAUAAGGGAGCAAGGUGCAGGUCGGGACCUGCUGUGUAAGUACCUGAAGAAUAAGCAUCGGCUAACUCCGUGCCAGCAGCCGCGGUAAUACGGAGGAUCCGAGCGUUAUCCGGAUUUAUUGGGUUUAAAGGGUGCGCAGGCGGAUGAACAAGUCAGCGGGAAAAUCGCGGGGUUCAACCCAGCUUCGCCGUUGAAACUGUGUCCCUUGAGUGCGCGAAGGGUAGGCGGAAUGCGUGGUGUAGCGGUGAAAUGCAUAGAUAUCACGAAGAACUCCGAUCGCGAAGGCAGCUCACCGGAGCGCAACUGACGCUGAUGCACGAAAGCGUGGGUAUCGAACAGGAUUAGAUACCCGGGUAGUC
rnacentral:rRNA from 1 species